rnacentral:rRNA from 1 species
CGGGUGGCGAACGGGUGAGUAACGCGUGAGGAACCUGCCUCAAAGAGGGGGACAACAGUUGGAAACGACUGCUAAUACCGCAUAAGCCCACGGGUCGGCAUCGACCAGAGGGAAAAGGAGCAAUCCGCUUUGAGAUGGCCUCGCGUCCGAUUAGCUAGUUGGUGAGGUAAUGGCCCACCAAGGCAACGAUCGGUAGCCGGACUGAGAGGUUGAACGGCCACAUUGGGACUGAGACACGGCCCAGACUCCUACGGGAGGCAGCAUG